rnacentral:rRNA from 1 species
UGGGGAAUCUUGGACAAUGGGGGACAACCCUGAUCCAGCCAUGCCGCGUGAGUGAUGAAGGCCUUAGGGUCGUAAAGCUCUUUCGCCUGUGAAGAUAAUGACGGUAGCAGGUAAAGAAACCCCGGCUAACUCCGUGCCAGCAGCCGCGGUAAUACGGAGGGGGUUAGCGUUGUUCGGAAUUACUGGGCGUAAAGCGCACGUAGGCGGACCAGAAAGUUGGGGGUGAAAUCCCGGGGGCUCAACCCCGGAACUGCCUCCAAAACUAUUGGUCUAGAGUUCGAGAGAGGUGAGUGGAAUUCCAAGUGUAGAGGUGAAAUUCGUAGAUAUUUGGAGGAACACCAGUGGCGAAGGCGGCUCACUGGCUCGAUACUGACGCUGAGGUGCGAAAGUGUGGGGAGCAAACAGGAUUAGAUACCCUGGGUAGUCCACACCGUAAAACGAUGAAUGCCAGUCGUCGGGUAGCAUGCUAUUCGGUGACACACCUAACGGAUUAAGCAUU